AACACCAGCUUGUCCAUGUACAUUUGUAUGACCACUAUGUCAAGGAUUAUUCUGUGCUGGUGAUUGCAGUUUCCUCUGCCUCUGUCUGGAUUCCUGUCAGUCUGCCUGCCUGCUUCUCUGGUUACUCAACCUUGCUUAUCCCCACCAACCUCUCCACAGUGCCAGACCCUUGGGAUCUGUACUCGUGAUCACGCUGACGGUCAGUCUUCAUACCCCACCACCAAACUCCACUUCGUGGUCAACCCUGGUCCGCACUGCACCGCCUGUUCCUUGUCUCACAGACCAGUCUGCCUGACCAGAUCCACGCCGCCCCUAACCCUUCUGUCUCCACUCCUGAUUACUGCUGCCUUCUCCGAGUCUACAAAGACGACUCGGAAGGCUCCGCUCCGAAGAUCUUUCUCCAGUCCCUCUAUACCAUUGCACCUUUUAAUAAAGAGUGACUUACUUCCUCUA